UCUGCAGAAGCAGUAGCAAUGAAACUUCGGAUUAGAGUUGUUCCGACAUAUAUAUCAAACAACUGCACUAUUGCAAGGAAACUAAUUAUUACGGCUUUCCUGAAACAUCAGAUCAAUGUUAUUUAUACAAGAUACUUCAUAUUUUCACCUGGCUUAGGGAAAUUAUUUUGUAAAAACUCAGACGUUCUUACAACUUGGAAAUCAGGUGGAAGCAAAGGCACUUCAUCUAACUUUAAAGGGGAUUGGUAUCCUGUACUAAGCAAUGGAUUAAUCGAAACCCAAACAGCUUUAGAGAAUAGUGAAGUAGUGUCAUAUCCACUCACAGUAGAAUCCAUCAGAAUCAACUCAUCUGCUUGUAGCCUAGAGUUUCCACCAGCUUUAUGUUGGCUAGUAUUGUCUACUUCACCUGAGGUAGUGGUAUGAUCUGCGUGCCACACUCUCUGUGGCAAGAGGUUGUUGGGAAUUUUCCAUAGUGAAUAGUAUACUACAAUACAACCUCUCUACUUCACCUGAGGUAGUGGUAUGAUCUGCGUACACUUUAUUUCCCCCAGGGGAAUACACUGGGUAUGUUGUUGUUGUUGUUGAAUAGUAUACUAUAAUAUGGGAAGAAAGGAAAAGGAAAAUGAGAUGCUUAUAUAAAGAAUUUACAGGUUACCGCUACAACAGAUUAAAACAAACUUGUUGUAAAAAAAAAAAAAAUUUAAGUUAUCAACGUAUAUAAGUUAAAUCUGCN
rnacentral:lncRNA from 1 species